rnacentral:lncRNA from 1 species
UUUUCUCUGCCUUAUAAAGGUAUCUUUCUUUGUUUUUUUUUUCUUCUUAUACCUCCGUAGUUUAUUAUUUUUAGACUAAUAUGAUAAAAUAAUUAGAUUAUCAAUUAGUCUACGUAUUUAUACAUUAGACCCUAGUCCGUAGCUAUUUUUUCUUCCGUAAAACAGCUUGGCCCUGAUUUUUCAAAUAGCAAUAACUUUUUAUUCGUUUGUCCAAAUCCAACGAAAUCAAUGCCCACUUUUUCGUUAUGAUCCCCUCUAUCCAGUAAUCUAACCCAAACAUGUUUUUGAAAUUUUCAAAUUUCGAAAUUUGUUUAGAUUCAUAUUCAAACUUCUUUUGAUCGUAACUUGAGUUCCGUAGCUCCGUUUGAGUUGAUUCUUUUUGCAAAUCGAAGCUCUUGACCUAAACAUUCUAAUAAGGCCAAAUUCACAUAAUUUUGGUACUGUUAGAAAUUGUUUUAUGUUUCAAGAGUUAUUUGCUUGGUUUUGACGUUUUCCGAAUUGUUUUCUUUGUUCUCUCCAAUCUUUGAGUGAUUGCUUAUGUGUGGUUACUAUUGCUUGCUUAUGAUAGAUUGACCGGAGUGAGACGAGUAGAUCUAUCAAGAUUUUUGAGUGCGAAUCAUCUUCAUCAACAUUGUAGGCAAGUUCACUCUUUGAUCAUAUCCCCUUUCAUACCCAGUUUUUAUGCAUUAGCUUCACCCUCAAACAUUGCAUGAGUAGGAUUGAUAACAUGUGGGUAUUGGGAAGUAGUUGAUGAGGUAGGAACCUAUUGCCCUGCAUUCAAACCUUGGGAGUUACUUUUACGUUAUGCUUACAUGGCCAUGCUAUGCUCGUAGACGUGGAUUGGGUUUGAGAGAAUUUCAUGACAGAUGUGAGAGAUUAUUGUUAACUAAGGUUUAACUUAAGGUGGCUACUUUAAUACACAUCUGGGUGGAUUGGUUGGGGCACCCUGGGGAUAUACCAGUGGACUUGCCCGGACACCUGGGGAUAUACCAGUGUUGUCCUAGGAGAUCCCGGGGUUACCGUGUGAUCAUCCUAUGGUUCGCCACCCAGGCUCAAAGGGAUCAUGAGAUUUUUCAUACUAGAAACUUCUGUGUGCAGCCACAAGCCAUUAUGGGCUCUGGCAUAGUUGAUUAAGUCGUGCGAACUCUUACAGGGUAGACUAGCAGAUGUAGGGGAAAGUAGGUGUACCGGUCUAUCCAACGUAAGGUGCUAGCGCUUCUGAAAGGCUGUGUCUCGGUCAUCCGUUUCUCAAACACCAUGUAGUGCGAGGAAUCCAACGGAGGCGAUCGAGUCUUGUGGGGAAAAGUGCACAAACCUCUGCAGAGUGUACAAACUAAUCAUGAUUAGCCGUGUCCCCGGUUAUGGACAUCUUGAGUAUCUAGUUCUUGGAUUAUCAUGUUGAUCUCAUCACGUUACUUUAAAUGAAUAUUGUUGGGUUUAAUGAUGUCACUUAAUUGGGAUUGAGAAUGCUGUCAACCAUUCUCAAUGUUCAACAACCACCAUGAUAGUUAAUUAAAAUGUAUUCCUUUGCAGUAGGGAAAAAUGGAUUUUCGCAAAAACAUUAUAACCAUAGAGCUUUUCCACCAGCCAUAUAUGCAUAUAGUGAUAGCCAUUGUUCAUCAUUUUCUCUAUGGUGUGAAUUUGCCAGUACAUUCAAUGUACUGACCCUCUGUGGCUGCAACGUCUCAUGUUGCAGGAUUAUCUUACGACGAGUAAGUGAUACGUUAGGGUUACGAUUUCUACACUCAACUUUGCCGUUGGUGUUGAUGGGAAUCCACAACCUUGUUACUUCCGCUAUUUUGGAUUUGAGGUAAUAGUAUUUGCGUUACUUAUACAUGUGAUUUACCUCUGUUAUAAAUCCUCGAGUACUGUGUGUGUCAGCAUAUCGAUCCAGGGAUGACACUUAAGCACAGAGACUUGACCCAUUCGGGUCGGGUCGCUACAAGAUGGUAUCAGAGCCAGGUUGACUAUAGGACGUGACCCUAGAAACUGGCAAGCCCAUAGCAAAAUUUUCUCUACAACUUUCCCUUUCAAAAAGAUAUUUUACCUCUCUUCUCUUCUGAGCUUAUUCAAAAAUUCUCUUUAGUGAGACCAUACACUUUCCCCUUUUGACCACUCGAAGAUUCCACUGAUGAGACCACUCCAAGAAGUACAAGAUAUUGGACAACUAAGACCACUUCGGAAUGAAGAGUAUUUUCCGUGCAUCUGAAUAAUGGAAACUACAACGGUUGAAGGCCGAAGACAAGUAGAAUUUGAAGGCUCUGAAGAAUUCCCAGAUUUAUAUGACCUAGGAAGGCUACCCUUAUGGAACUUGGGAGACUAUGGAAGUUGUCAAUACCCGAGAUCAAGGUGUAUUGGAGAAAGACCAAAACAUGGAGAGUAGAGAACUCAAAGAAAACCUUAAGGCAGGAGAUAUCAACUGGCAAGAUAGCUCAUGGCAAUGACAAGGGCAGAAACACGGUUAUCCGUGAUGUCAUCACCAUUGAUACUAUGGUCACCGAGCUGAGCUAAGCAUGCAUUCCUUCAGAAGGAUUGGAUGGUAGAAGGCUGAUGGAGCAUCUAUCAGCAAAGGAUGCAGUUUUAAACUUAGCUGGUGUAUCACCAAGAUCUGGAGUAGUACAUCAAGAAGUUUAAGGUGGAGCUCCAUGAAGCCGUAUUAGACAAGGAAAUAUUUCAUGAAGAACUCAGGAACCAAAAGCUGAAAGUAGCCAAGCUGGAGGAGCUACAACCUCGAGAUACCGGAGAUUUGUCAGGAACUGAAGGACAGUAGGACCAUGGUUCAUGCGAAGGAUGUUGAAACCAGAAGUUUGGAACGCAACUCCAGAAUAUUAAAGGACGUCACGAGAGACUUCGCGUCAUAAGAGUUGAUCUGGCAAAAGAACUUGAGAAGGACAAGCAUGAUCGGAAGAAGCCACUGGAGGCUUGAACAAGGCUUGAAGAGUUUGGAGACGUUGAAGAUUUAUUGACCUUUAGAAGACGAAACCCCUGUUAUAUACCUACGUUAGAUGCGAUGUUUGUGAGCUGUCAUUUGUUUGAUGUUUUCCCGACGGCCACAAAUAAAAUCUGUCUUUUCAAAACUUUUGUUUGUAUUGUGUGCAUCCCUCUCUAUAUCUCUUAUCUCACCCCAAACCCAUGGACCCAAUAGAGGACGAAUGGAGAUGAACUCAUGUUUUCCUGGACCGAUAAGUCAAUUGGAGACAGACCGAUGGAUUCAGAACAUGGAGGAUCACAUGGAGAAUAACCCUAUAGUUGGACAUGAUAUGACCCAGCAUGCUCUUCUGUGUUUUGAAAGAGGUGCUGCUACUUGGUGGAGGAUGUACCAAACCAUCAAUGGAUGGCAAGGAGUAACCACUUGGAAAGAAUUUAAGUUGACUUUGCCAAAGUCUCGGUUUGUGUCCUAGAAGUUAAAAUCUUAUGGAAAGGAUAUAAAGAAACCUUGUGCAUGCAAGCUUUGUGGAGAAAUAGGACACACCCAUAAAGAACACAAGGAUGAAUGCCCUAAUUGUGAAGGAAGUCACCCAAUUGAAGAAUGCCCAGUUAGGCAGAUUACUUGUUUCUUGUGUGAAGGGACUACCCACUACCCUGCUCAGUGUCACAUUUACCCCAUGGUACAAAGAACCAUCCAGCAGAAGAAAGAAGCAACGAGAGGAGACCUUAUGGAAAGUUUAGAAGAACCUGUGAUGAAGGAAGAUGUGGAGGACACACCCAAAGAAGAGCCAAUUAAACCCUGCACCAAGUCAUGCUAUUCAUGUGGAGAAGAAGGACACAUCUCCCAGAAUUGUUUGAAUGGGGAUUUAGUAGAAUUCCCGAUAGAGGAAGUAGAGUAUGACCCACUGGAAAUAGAAGCUCUGAUGGGAAUGGAAAAGUCCAGAAAGAGAAGUAGAUUGGAUUCCAGGAAGGAUCUGAGUCAUGUCACCUGUUAUAAGUGCAAGGAGUCAGGGCACUACCUCAGCAAUUGCCCAAAAAGGAAGCCAAGGACCCAAGUAGGCUACGUAAUCACAAGGAAACCUCGAAACCUGUCAGAAGUAAUAUGUUUCCGUUGUAAUGAAGCAGGGCACUUUCCCAGAGAUUGUCCGACGGAGAAGGAGACUUGUGAUAAAUAGUUGAGUUUGUAACAGAAGAAAUAUAGUAGUAGUAGUAGUAGUAGUAGUGGGAACAUUAUUCUUUUAUAUUGAGGUGUUGAGUUGAGACAUGUAAUGGAAAAUUCGAGAGAUUGUAAUCACUUGAGAAUGAAUAAAGUUAGCAUCGUUGGUACUGAUAUGGAUUUUAUGAGUUGUUACUCUAUGAAGAAGGAUUUUGACCAUUCUGAGGAUAUGAGAAAUAUGGUCUAUGGAAGAUUCGUGCAUUUUAAGGGUGGUAGUACCCUGUAAGAACCGUUGAUCCCUGGAAAAGAUAAGGAUACUCCACUGAGUGUCGGACAAAAAUGAAUACGAGUUUUGUCUUGAUAUGUGUGAUGCCCCAAGAGUAUGUGGGAUGAAGUUGGAGACCGUCAGUUGUUUGGACCAAAUGUGAUCAAGGAGUCAGAAGAGAAUGUUAAGUUGAUUCGAGAUAGACUGAAGGUAGCUCAGUCCAGGCAGAAGAGUUAUGUAGACUCAAAAACUCAAGGAGGUAGUCUAUGAAAUUGGAGACAGAGCAUGUCUUCGUGUGACCCCUCUGCGAGGAAUUAAACAAUUUGGAGUUAAGGGACAGUUAGCCCCGAGAUUUGUAGGACCAUACCGAGUUUUGGAGCAUAUGAGAGAAGUGGCCUACAAGUUUGAGUUACCCGAAGGACUGUCAGGAGUUCAUGAUGUGUUUCACGUUUCCCAGUUGAAGAAGUGCCAUGCAGAGAUGGCCAAUAUUCCCCUGUAAGGAUGCUUGACCGCGGAAAGGAUAAUGAUGUUCCACGAAGUGGAAUAUGGACUUCAUAAGUAUAAGUUUUUAUCUCGGUAUGAGGGAUAUCCCACGAGGAUGAAGAGAUGAAUUACUAUUGGAUAUAAAGGAGGUAUGAUGUCAGAAAUAUGGAUCAAUGGAAACUCCAUGAUGAGUCCGAGUAAUCAUGUCCUAGUUUGGUGCCAAUAGAAGGAAGGAAGAUAGUACAAUUGGAUAGAUUUAAGAAUACUAGGAAGUUGGAUGUUGGAAUAACGAUAAGUUGCCCAGAGGAUAAGUUCAAGGUUUACAAGUGAUGAGAUGGGCCAUAACCCACAGGCCCCAGGACCUGCCAAGAAGCAAGCACAUUCUUGCUGAAGGAAGAACCCUGGAAGAGGAUAUACCUUUGUCGACAGACAAUCUUAUAGGAGUAACGCAAAACCUGAGAGUUGUGAAGGAACGAUAGAUGUUUGUUUGGCUUGCAGAAUCCAUGGAAUUUUCCGAACUUAGUUCAUUGACAAGAGAAAUUCUGCAAUGCUUGUGAGGAUGACCGAGUGUUAGAAUGCGAGAUUCGCUAAACUGUAUACAUGGUAAUGAUUUGGGUGCGGGAUGGAUUGAUCACCAUACCGACUUACUCUUAUUAUUCGCCUUGCUAUAUGGGAUGGUAAAUCUGAGUGACUUACCUAUAGUAGAGAGACGACGAUCAAAACCUUGUUUAAGCCUUAGAAUGGUAUAAGUAUUUUUCCCUUGUACAUGGCAGCUUUGCCAACCGUAGGUUAUACGGUGAGGAUCAACCCAGACUCAUUUCCUGCAGGAGAAGCCAUAAAUUGUUAACCACCAUGAGAUAUCGAUAGUUAUUUAGAAUUGGCGCCAGACCGUCAGCUAAGAAGACCCAGUCUCGGAAUAACCUUACCUAGAUGAAAGACAGAAGAAUUGAGGAAAAGGUUAUGCCACUACCAGAAGAGCUCAGAGAAGGAAUUUUCUCAAGGAUCUGAGAAGACCGACACUGUCAAGAAUAAGGAUGGAGUAUAUGAGUUUUGAUGGAACCGUAAACAUGUUUCUAAGGGUGGUAGCACCCGAGACCCCCCUCAGACGAUUGAUGGAUUUUGAGGAGACCCCAAUUCCAACCUAUUUCUUUCUAGCCUCUCCGAAUCUCGAGGACGACAUUCAUUUUAAGGGUGGUAGGUUUGUAACAUCCCAAAAUUCUAAAUUUUGGAAUGUUAUAAUAAAUAGAUAGAUUUGAUUAAUUGUUUGAUUGAUUGUCUGAAAGUGAGUGAAUUCGAAACAUUUGAAAGUUAAAUGAGAGGGAAUAAAAGGACUUUCCCAAACUUUCAUGCUUCCUGAUCUCCAUGAAUUCAAAUUCUUUUCAAAUACAAAACCCUUGAGCGAAGAUGAUAUGACUUCUUCCAUUUAAAAAAAUUAAAUGAAAGGGUAUUUGAAAAUAAUUGAAUUUCAUUUGGAAAUAUUUCAAUUCAUAAACUUCAUGCACCUCAAUGAUUUUCAUGAGAGAAGAUAAAAUGACUUCUUCAAAUUAUAUGAAAUAUGAGUUGGGAGUUUCAAAGAAUUAAAUUCAAAGUUCUUUUGAAUUUAUUUUCAAUUUGGAGUUAUUUGAGUUUUAUUCAAAUUAUUUUUCUCCAAAAAUAAAAUAUAUGGAAAUUAGGGUAACAUGAUUCCCUACAACAGAAAAUUGGAGAAAAAUUCAUUUGAAAUCAUUUUGGUAUUUUUAAAAUGUUUUUGUUGGAUUCUAUUAGACCAGCAGCACUCUUUGAAUUAUCUGAAUUUGUGCGGAUUUUAUUUGGCAAUAUAAAAAUGUUCAUGUCGUAGAAAAAAAAACUGAAAAUUUUGAUAUAUAAUAUGCCUAUAUAAAGUUUUAUUUUAUUUUCGUUUUUCAGUUUAUCGCAUUCUGUUAAAAAAAAACUGCGCGCGCGCCUGAAACUAACUGUCGCCUACAUGCACAGUAUAGUACUUCUGGCGCCCCAUUGUUUUUUUUUUCUCUUAAAUAGGCUAGGCCCAGCCAGUCUUUUUUUUCUUAGGCAAAAUUUUGUAAAAAAAAAAACUGCACCGCGCGGCCGGCCGAAGGCCUUUAGGCCCCUCGCCUCUUUUCUUCUCUGUUUUGUAUAUUUUCGUCUACGUUUAGUCCCACAUUGCCUAGCCUUUGACCCCUAAGCCUCUUUUUCAUCAAUAAAUAUAGACCCAUAGAGCCUCCAAAAACCAUCCGAUUCGGAUUAAAUCAAUAUUUUGGUUUGACUAGAUUCAUUUAAGAAAAAUAUAUUUCUCUCUCCAGCGCGACUUUUGAAAAUUGUCUCCUCUCUCCAAAGUUAUCUUUUCUCUGCCUUAUAAAGGUAUCUUUCUUUGUUUUUUUCUUCUUAUACCUCCGUAGUUUAUUAUUUUUAGACUAAUAUGAUAAAAUAAUUAGAUUAUCAAUUAGUCUACGUAUUUAUACAUUAGACCCUAGCCCGUAGCUAUUUUUUCUUCCGUAAAACAGCUUGGCCCUGAUUUUUCAAAUAGCAAUAACUUUUUAUUCGUUUGUCCAAAUCCAAC